GAGUUUGAUCAUGGCUCAGAUUGAACGCUGGCGGCAUGCCUUACACAUGCAAGUCGAACGGCAGCAUGAUCUAGCUUGCUAGAUUGAUGGCGAGUGGCGAACGGGUGAGUAGUACAUCGGAACGUGCCCUGUAGUGGGGGAUAACUAGUCGAAAGAUUAGCUAAUACCGCAUACGACCUGAGGGUGAAAGUGGGGGACCGCAAGGCCUCAUGCUAUAGGAGCGGCCGAUGUCUGAUUAGCUAGUUGGUGGGGUAAAGGCCCACCAAGGCGACGAUCAGUAGCUGGUCUGAGAGGACGAUCAGCCACACUGGGACUGAGACACGGCCCAGACUCCUACGGGAGGCAGCAGUGGGGAAUUUUGGACAAUGGGCGAAAGCCUGAUCCAGCAAUGCCGCGUGUGUGAAGAAGGCCU
rnacentral:rRNA from 1 species